UUCAGCAAAAAGAGAAAAGAGUCAGCUUGACCUCAGAGGUGGCUGAAUGUCAGUGGAUGUGUAAUAUACAUUGUAAAAAAUGUUCCGCCAAAUGAGGAUGGAAUCAAGGUUGUUCAUCAGUUGACCUUAAAACAGAUUAUUGUGGAUUGAACAGAACCUAUGUCCUUAUAAGUGGAGGAGAAAAGCAGAAGUGAUUCCAUUUGAAAAGAACUCAAGCUGCCUUUGCUGGCUUGGAAGACAGAGAAGGGGCUAUGAGCCUUGGUGUGUAGGUGGCUUCUAGCAACUGGAAAAGCAAAGCCCGUUUGGGAAGAAGAAGACAGGAGGAUCUCAGAAGAGCUUCCUUUCCCCCAGGGUUGGCCCAUCUGCCGGGAAGAAGAGAGUGUGCUGCGGGCCCCGGGCGUCGCCUGCGCCCGGAUGCUGGCCCGUGUGGCCACUGAACAAAUGAUGCCCCUGGGCGCAGGGAGGGUUGGGAAGGGCUCCUGCCUGGGGUUGAGUCAAUGGACUUCUGCCUGGGGCGAUACAGAGACAUAUGUUCCAUGAACAUCAUUAGUACACUCUCUCCUAGAAAGCCUCCUUUGUUGGGGGUUGCUGGGGGAAUGAACCAGAACUGACGCUCACCCCUCGCAAAGGAUUAAACAUUUAAGGGAAAUGAGCCAAAAUAUUUUUAAAUAUCACAUAUCUUUGAGCUUUUGAAAGCAGAAAACAGGGAACAAAUUAUAAACAUCCACGAAUGCCCUUUGAGGCAUUAACAUGAAUAAUAAUUUUUGAAUACAAUGAAUUGGAUUAUCACAGUUCUUUUAUUUUGCCGUUAUGAAUACCACACCGAGACUCACAGAGCAACUCUAAGCAACUGUACUUUUGGGUUUGCAAAUAUUUUUCAUCAUCUUCCCCUUUCUCGAGUUUUGACAUCUUUUCAGAGCCUGUUUGGAAGUACUUCCUUGUUUUGUUUUCUUCUGCCCCCUCAUUUCUAGCGAAGCUAUUAAAUUGCUUUGUUAUAGUCAUCUGUAAAGUCUGAAUAAAUAAGCUUUGGAAAGAA